rnacentral:rRNA from 1 species
AGUCGAGCGGUAGAGAGAAGCUUGCUUCUCUUGAGAGCGGCGGACGGGUGAGUAAUGCCUAGGAAUCUGCCUGGUAGUGGGGGAUAACGUUCGGAAACGAACGCUAAUACCGCAUACGUCCUACGGGAGAAAGCAGGGGACCUUCGGGCCUUGCGCUAUCAGAUGAGCCUAGGUCGGAUUAGCUAGUUGGUGAGGUAAUGGCUCACCAAGGCGACGAUCCGUAACUGGUCUGAGAGGAUGAUCAGUCACACUGGAACUGAGACACGGUCCAGACUCCUACGGGAGGCAGCAGUGGGGAAUAUUGGACAAUGGGCGAAAGCCUGAUCCAGCCAUGCCGCGUGUGUGAAGAAGGUCUUCGGAUUGUAAAGCACUUUAAGUUGGGAGGAAGGGCCAUUACCUAAUACGUGAUGGUUUUGACGUUACCGACAGAAUAAGCACCGGCUAACUCUGUGCCAGCAGCCGCGGUAAUACAGAGGGUGCAAGCGUUAAUCGGAAUUACUGGGCGUAAAGCGCGCGUAGGUGGUUUGUUAAGUUGGAUGUGAAAGCCCCGGGCUCAACCUGGGAACUGCAUUCAAAACUGACAAGCUAGAGUAUGGUAGAGGGUGGUGGAAUUU